rnacentral:rRNA from 1 species
GAUGAAUGCUGGCGGCGUGCCUAACACAUGCAAGUCGAGCGAUUUACUUCGGUAAAGAGCGGCGGACGGGUGAGUAACGCGUGGGUAACCUGCCCUGUACACACGGAUAACAUACCGAAAGGUAUGCUAAUACGAGAUAAUAUGCUUUUAUCGCAUGAUAGAAAUAUCAAAGCUUUUGUGGUACAGGAUGUACCCGCGUCUGAGUAGCUACUUGGUAAGGUAACGGCUUACCAAGGCGACGAUCAGUAGCCGACCUGAGAGGGUGAUCGGCCACAUUGGAACUGAGACACGGUCCAAACUCCUACGGGAGGCAGCAGUGGGAAAUAUUGCACAAUGGGCGAAAGCCUGAUGCAGCAACGCCGCGUGAGCGAUGAAGGCCUUCGGGUCGUAAAGCUCUGUCCUCAAGGAAGAUAAUGACGGUACUUGAGGAGGAAGCCCCGGCUAACUACGUGCCAGCCGCCGCAGUAA